rnacentral:rRNA from 1 species
UUCCGGUUGAUCCCGCCGGAGGUCAUUGCUAUCGGAGUCCGAUUUAGCCAUGCUAGUCGUGCGAGUUCAUACUCGCGGCACCGAGCUCAGUAACACGUGGCCAAACUACCCUACAGAGACGGAUACCCUCGGGAAACUGAGGCUAACCCGUCAUACCGAUCUCAGGCUUGAACUGCAGAGAUCACUAAAUGCCCCGGCGCUGUAGGAUGUGGCUGCGGUUGAUUAGGUUGACGGUGGGGUAACGGCCCACCGUGCCCAUAAUCAGUACAGGUUGUGAGAGCAAGAACCUGGAGACGGAAUCUGAGACAAGAUUCCGGGCCCUACGGGGCGCAGCAGGCGCGAAACCUUUACACUGCACGCACGUGCGAUAAGGGGACUCCGAGUGCGAGGGCAUAUCGUCCUCGCUUUCGUGUACCGUAGGGUGGUACACCAACAAGGGCUGGGCAAGACCGGUGCCAGCCGCCGCGGUAAUACCGGCAGCCCGAGUGAUGACCGAUCUUAUUGGGCCUAAAGCGUCCGUAGCUGGCUGCGCAAGUCCGUCGGGAAAUCCACUCGCUCAACGAGUGGGCGUCCGACGGAAACUGCACAGCUUGGGACCGGAAGGCUCGAAGGGUACGUUCGGGGUAGGAGUGAAAUCCCAUAAUCCCGCACGGACCACCGAUGGCGAAAGCACUUCGAGAAAACGGAUCCGACAGUGAGGGACGAAAGCCAGGGUCUCCAACCGGAUUAGAUACCCGGGUAGUCCUGGCCGU